UACAGAGGGGGCAAGCGUUAUUCGGAAUUAUUGGGCGUAAAGGGCGCGUAGGCGGCGAUUCAAGUGACGGGUGAAAUCCCUCGGCUUAACCGAGGAACUGCCUGUCAGACUGGAUUGCUUGAGGCCGGGAGAGGCGAGUGGAAUUCCCAGUGUAGCGGUGAAAUGCGUAGAUAUUGGGAGGAACACCAGUGGCGAAGGCGGCUCGUUGGACCGGUUCUGACGCUGAGGCGCGAAAGCGUGGGGAGCAAACAGG
rnacentral:rRNA from 1 species